AUGAGUAUCGCUGAGUACGUCGGGCUGAGCAAAAUGCUCUUCCUUGGGGUUUGUUUCUUGGCAGUGCAACUGCUGCUCUGGGUUUGUGUUGUGUGUCUUGUAGGGGAAGGCAGGAGGCUCCUGGGGGGCUCCCAUCGCAGCCCUUCGCUCCUGUUCCUAAGCCUUGUGUUCAUAAACAUCUGUGGCAUUGCCAAGUCCAUUGCUGCAGGCCUCUUCCCGUGUCUCCCAGGGGCUCCCCAGGGUGGUAGAGGCUUUGUGCUACCACCAAACAUCUCCUUAGGCUUUGGUCAGGCUCCCUGGACCAUCCGUGCCUGGCCAGCAGGUCUCUUCCACGCCUGGUCUGGUGUCUGCCCUGCUGUGUGUGCACAGCUCCGUGCCCUGCCUCACCAGUGCUCCUCGGUGUCCUGUACUACGAAGCCCUCUGCUUCACGGCUGUCCCAUCCCCUGUGCCUCGUGUCCCUGAUGAACUCUACCUCUUUCUCCUUCCUUCUCAGGCCGAGGUUGCUCAGGCUGCUCGUCUCACACGGAGAGCACCACAGGGAGGACGAGGGCUCAGCAGGUGACCGGACUUCGCCGCCAACUCUGCACCACAAGUGCUGUCCAAACGUGGACUUCAGGAACGCUGGAGCGGUGCGUGGCUGAUGGGAGGACAGCUGUGGAUGUGUGUGCUGCAGCAGGAACACCUUUGGGAUUUGGGAGCCCAGCCCUACAGAGAUGCUCCUGCACUCAGACUGGGGGAGAAGGAGGCUCUGGCAGUGGGCGCCUUGGCAAGACUCGGUUAACUUCUGAAGAGGAAGAAAAGGGCAAAGAGCCCAUGUUAGCCCUUAGCAGAGCCUGGCACAGCACUGCGAGGACUUCAUCUCCCUGCCAUUGCAUGUUGGAUGUUCCUGGUGACACCGGAGCAGGAUUCAAAAGCAGUCUCUGCUACAGCUCCGUGCCCAGAGACGUGCUAGACUCUUGCUGAUUCCUCCUGCCAUAUGGGCCGUGCCUGGUACCGCUUCCUCCUGGCUGCUGGUUUCCCAGUGGAGCAGACAACAAACAGCAAGCAAGAGGAGCAAAACAGGACAAGGAGUUUCUGUAGGACCUACCAGAAGCUGGCUGGCAGUUUAG
rnacentral:lncRNA from 1 species